GGAACGCUAUUUAUAGAGUGGCGCACGGGUGAGUACGCGUGGGAACUACCCUUCUGAGUGGGAUAACGUUUGGAAACGAACGCUAAUACCACAUACGCCCUACGGGGGAAAGGUCCGCCGCAGAAGGAGGUGCCCGCGUCCGAUUAGCUUGUUGGUGAGGUAAUGGCUCACCAAGGCGACGAUCGGUAGCUGGUCUGAGAGGAUGAUCAGCCACACUGGGACUGAGACACGGCCCAGACUCCUACGGGAGGCAGCAGUGGGGAAUAUUGGGCAAUGGGGGCAACCCUGAUCCAGCAAUGCCGCGUGUGUGAUGAAGGCCCUAGGGUUGUAAAGCACUUUCACUGGUGAAGAUGAUGACGGUAGCCAGAGAAGAAGCUCCGGCUAACUUCGUGCCAGCAGCCGCGGUAAUACGAAGGGGGCUAGCGUUGUUCGGAAUCACUGGGCGUAAAGCGUAUGUAGGCGGAUCAAAAAGUUAGAUGUGACAUCCCUGGGCUCAAACCAGGAACUGCAUUUAAAACUAGUGAUCUAGAAUUUGGUAAGGGUUAGUAGAAUUCCAGUGUAGAGGUGAAAUUCGUAGAUAUUGGAAAGAAUACCAGAAGCGAAGGCGACUACCUAGUGCCAUUUCGACGCUGAGAUCGAAAGCGUGGUAGCAACGGGAUUAAUACCUGGUAGUCACGCGGA
rnacentral:rRNA from 1 species